rnacentral:rRNA from 1 species
UACGAGGGGAGCAAGCGUUGUUCGGAUUUACUGGGCGUAAAGGGCGCGUAGGCGGCGUGACAAGUCACUUGUGAAAUCUCCGGGCUUAACUCGGAAAGGUCAACUGAUACUGUGCGACUAGAGUGCAGAAGGGGCAACUGGAAUUCUCGGUGUAGCGGUGAAAUGCGUAGAUAUCGAGAGGAACACCUGCGGCGAAGGCGGGUUGCUGGGCUGACACUGACGCUGAUGCGCGAAAGCCAGGGGAGCGAACGGG